GGUCUGGCCUACCCGAGCAUUCUUAAUGCUUAACGACCGGCUGUCUGAUAAACUAUGAUGAAUAAGUGUGCGGCUUCUCCGUUUUGCCGUGGUAAUUAGCAAAAUGAAGAUAAAGAAGUAACACGCACACCGCUAAUAGCUCCUAAAUGCUUAAGUAUUGCCUCAGUGGACGGUGCUAGCAUCGAUCAGGAAAAACGGGCAGAUGUCUGGGAUGACAGAAAGGCGCGCACUCAGAGUUCCCGCUCUGGCACGAUUAUUGUGAUGACCUCCGGAGUUCUGUUCUAUUUAAGGAAAAGCGCAAGCGACAUAGUUUUAUGUCUAUCACAUGACACCUGACGUUAUUUUGCGCUAGCCCACCUCGACCAACGAAAACUCGCCACGGUAGUCUAGUGGUUAUGGUGCUCGACUGCUGACCCGCAGAUCGCGGGAUCGAA
rnacentral:lncRNA from 1 species